GAGAGAGAGAGAAGCAGAGGCUGGGGGCUGGUGGACUCAUCGAGCUGUGUGCAUCCCGACUCCAAGCCCUAACGUGUUUCUGAACGAUCCACGAGGAGUCGGAGUCCAUCCUGGCUGUGGCUACAGACCAGGAGAUUCACUCGUACCGGAGAAGAGCAGCACCGAUGAGGCCACGCUCUCCUGCCUCCGGAGCUACUGCAGUCAAGGAAAAAAACGGGAGAGAAACAGAGCCCUGCAGGCAGACAUGGAGAACAGAAGCAUGCCAGUGACCACUUGAACGUAUCAGGAGGGGAAUAAAUGAGAACAAACAUCCCCUAAAGAGGCACUGGAACAUUUAGCAAUCAAAGGAGCGAGGCCACUGCACAGUUUGAAGACAAAAUUUCCUACGCAGAACUGAAUUGUCUUAGAAGCAAGCCGAGAAACUUCUGCUACAGUAACUAACAUUUCUUAAUUUCUUCGUACUUUAAAAAAAAAAUUAAACCAUAUUACAU